rnacentral:rRNA from 1 species
UGGGGAAUAUUGGACAAUGGGGGAAACCCUGAUCCAGCGACGCCGCGUGAGGGAAGAAGGUUUUCGGAUUGUAAACCUCUGUCUUCAGGGACGAAACAAAUGACGGUACCUGAGGAGGAAGCCACGGCUAACUACGUGCCAGCAGCCGCGGUAAUACGUAGGUGGCAAGCGUUGUCCGGAAUUACUGGGUGUAAAGGGAGCGUAGGCGGAUAAGCAAGUUGAAUGUAAAAGGUAAGGGCUCAACCCUUAUUAGCGUUCAAAACUGCAUAUCUUGAGUGAAGCAGAGGCAGGCGGAAUUCCUAGUGUAGCGGUGAAAUGCGUAGAUAUUAGGAGGAACACCAGUGGCGAAGGCGGCCUGCUGGGCUUAAACUGACGCUGAGGCUCGAAAGCAUGGGGAGCAAACA